rnacentral:rRNA from 1 species
AGAGUUCGAUCAUGGCUCAGGAUGAACGCUAGCUACAGGCUUAACACAUGCAAGUCGAGGGGCAGCAUCAUCAAAGCUUGCUUUGAUGGAUGGCGACCGGCGCACGGGUGAGUAACACGUAUCCAACCUGCCGACAACACUGGGAUAGCCUUUCGAAAGAAAGAUUAAUACCGGAUGGCAUAGUUUUCCCGCAUGGGAUAAUUAUUAAAGAAUUUCGGUUGUCGAUGGGGAUGCGUUCCAUUAGGCAGUUGGCGGGGUAACGGCCCACCAAACCUACGAUGGAUAGGGGUUCUGAGAGGAAGGUCCCCCACAUUGGAACUGAGACACGGUCCAA